rnacentral:RNase_P_RNA from 2 species
CGCUCACCGCAGCUUUACUAUCUUGAUACUUGAUAAUAGGAUAUCCCUUAUCUAUCUAAUUUUCUUCCAAGUCUGAGACCGAACCUGAACCUGCGAAGAAGUUCUGGCUUUUCGGAUGCAACGGUCCGAGCUGUCCGGUCCCCAUCGCGUUGAACUUCGGGCGCCUAGAAAAUGACCGUCUCCUUCCUUUCUCAGCAUCUUGCUUUGGAUGGAUUUACUUGGUUAAGAUAGAUGCAUUCUUAAGUGCAAUUUUCAUUUCGUGUGCUUUGUAUACGAAACUUAAUUCAGACUAUUCUGGGGUAGUG